AUUGGAUCCAGUGGUGUGUUUCCAGUUGUAUGAAGGAUAGCUGUAUUAUGUAAAGUGUAAUUAUGACCUUUUUAUUGUCUUUAUUUGAAGAUCAUGUAUUAUCUCGUACGGGUUCAGGUUUGACAAGGGGUAGACUUGUGAUGGUUAAUAGUUAGUGUCAACUUGAUUGGAACGAAGGACACAAAGUAUUGAUCCUGGGUGUGUCUGUGAAGGUGUUGCCAAAGGAGAUUAACAUCAGUGCAGCAAGAAUAUAAGCAAGCAGAAAAAUGUGAACAGAGACUGACCUAGCUUCCCAACCUACAACUUUCUUCCAUGCUAAUGCUUCCUGCCCUUGCACAUCGGACUCCAACUUCUUCAGUUUUGGAACUUGGACUGGCUCUCCUUGCUCCUUAGCCUGCCGACGGCCUACUGUGGGACCUUGUGAUCAUACAAAAAAGAUGGAAUUUGGAGGACAAGACAAGAGAUACUAAGAAGAGUAAACCCAAUAAACAGACUGCAGCACAGAAAGGGUCCAGGACCAGGGAGGUGGCUUGUUCAGGAAAGAGUUAACUCAACAGGUCUGGGAUAUUCAAAUCCCACACAUUUCGAAAAAAAGUUCUCUCCUCAUUGGCUCCUGGGAGAAAAUCUCUACGUCUUUGGACUAUUCUUCCAGAUUGGAGACUGAAAAGAAGAGAAGUUAAGGAACUUGUCUAAGAUUAUCAAGCAAAAAUUUAAAGCUGAAGUUUCAAUAUUUUCUCAGAAAACAAGAAAAGUUAGUGAUCUCAUUAUAGAAAGACUGUUACAGUGGCUUCAGCAGAGUCAGUGGUUGUGUCAACAGCAUCUGGAGCAGAGAGGGCAAGCUUAGUUCAUAUGAAGCAGCAAUAGCAACAGAAGAAAAGGCAGUGACAUCACCCUCAGCUUGUUGGAGGUAAGUGUGACCUUAUGGACUAAGGCAAGUGACCGUAACACUCUCCAAUGGCUGCUCACCAUCCCCUUCAUAAUCUCCAGUCACUUCUCCAGAAAACCCCUUCCUUUAACUCUCUAGAACUCUCUGCCAUCAAUUUAUUUAUUUCUAUUCCUGUCUGUUUGAUAUCACCAGAGAGGCUUUCAUUUCCCAACUAAACUUUGGCUGCUUUGGUAUUUGUUAAAGAAGCAAACUCAGAAAUAGGCUUUCAAGGAUUGGAAUGUGAGUUUGUUAAUCUAUUUGUCAUCUGAAAGUUGUGACUUUUUUGCCAGUGAAUAAUGGGCUAUUUCUGUUUCAUGUCAGCAAAUGCAAAACUGUACAUCAACUGGAUUAAAUUAAAGGCAAGUAUGUGAGGCUGAAAUGGGCUAUUUUGCUUGAUUAUAAUGGUAGGAAUGAUGAGUACAUUGUGGAAUACAUGGGCUACUUCUGAUUGCACUGGAAGAGCUCAGUCAGUGUACAUUCAGAAACACUGAAACCAUCAGAGAUAUUUCAGUCUCCAUCGGCCCCCUUCCAGAGGCACCACAAUAUGCAGAGAAUAAAGGACUCCUUUCUUACUCCCACCUUCCAAUUCAUUAUUACUUCCCCAUGGCAGAAGCUAAAUAAUCAAGAUGGUAAAGGAUCAGUGGAAAUAAAGUUUUUAGGCUUCCAGCUUCCUGCAGGGAAGGGAAAUCACAAAAGGUUAGAGCAGAGCUAAGUGCCUAUAGACAAAUAACCAGCUCAGUGAUUACAUUGUUAACAAGUUUUAUAGUUGGCCCUAAAAAUGGUCUGUAAACACAUACCAGUUCAAAAUAGAAAAUUCUUAAAAAAAACCUUAUUUCUGAAGUAUUUAUUUCUGAAAUAUCAGACUAAAAGAGAACUCCCAAUUCUUUAAUGGUAAAGAGAAAAAUAUAGAUGCAAAAAAAAAAUUAAGAAAAAGGAACAAGGUGACUUUUUGUGGCACAGAGGAAGUAAGACAUACAUACAAAAAAUAAAUAAUAUCAUCUGUUGAAACAACAUAUACUACACAGAAGUAAAUUUUAACCAGCAUCCAUAAAAGUCAAAGAAACAAAUUUCAAGUACUGUCUUUAAAAGUCAAGGAAACAUGUAUGAGGCAAAAUAGUAGAUUUAAGAUUAGAUGGAAGUGCAGUAGAAGAAGAUUGAUAUGGUUUGAAUCUGUGUCCCCAUCCAAAUCUAAUGUUCAGUUAUAAUCCCCAGUGUUGGAGGUGGGGCCUGGUGGGAGGUGAUUGGAUCACAGGGGCAGUUUCUCAUGAAUGAUUUAGUACCAUCCCCCUAGUGCUGUUUUUGUGAUAAAAUUCCCAUGAGGUCUUUCUUUAAAACUGUGUAGCACCUCCUCCCUCUCUCUUUUCCUGCGGCUCCAGACAGAUGUGUCUGCUUCCUCUUCACAUUUUGCUAUGAUUUUAAGUACUCUGAGGCCUCCCCAGAAGCUGAUGCCACCAUGCUUUCUGAACAGCCUACAGAACCACAAUCUAAUAAAGCCUCUUUCCUUAUAAAUGACCAAGUCUCAGAUAAUUCUUUAUAGAAAAGCAAGAGUGGACUAACAUACAUCCUGUGCCUGGAAAAGCCACAGACACUCAAUGCCAGCCUGGGAGAGCAGCUGUGGUGGCUGAACCCUGAAAAAUCACAGGACUAGAGCUGCCCAAGCCUUUGGGAGCCUACCUCUUGCAUUGGUGUGCCCUGGAUUUGGGACAUGAAGUCAAAGAACUUCUGCAACCAUCAGCUCUCCGUGUUGCUAAGAGUCAGCUCCAGCACAGAAUUGUCUUCUGUUAAAUGAAGCAGCAUGAGUGAACCCAGCUGAAACCACAGCAGAAACUGCCUUGGAAACUUGCAAAAUCAUGAGAAAUAGAAAUCAUUGUUUUAAGUAACUAAGUUUUGGGGUAUUCAGAUACACAUCAAAGGACUAAAGAAAGCAAUGAACAAUAAAGAG
rnacentral:lncRNA from 1 species